GGGUGGAUGGGAGUGAUACACGAAAUAUGUAAGAGACGAACAGAAUUAGUUGAGAUUUUACAGCAGUUCAUUGGGUGCAAAAAAAAAAAAAAAGAAAACGUCACAGAUUGACUUAAAGCCUUUUUAUCUGAAUCUUUUAAUGCACUCUCCUUUCUUGGUUUAUUUAUAUGAUCUUUAUUCUAGUACAGCAAAUACUUCCCACUUCCAAAUGUUCAAAAAGGUUCUGCACACUUAGAAAUAAUUUAUGAUCAAAACCUUUUCGUAUUUAAUAGCAGGUGUCACCCAUGUAAAGUGCCCUGCAGUUUGAGUGACAAGGCAUGCACAAUGCACACAGACCCAUACAAGCUUCUGUGCACUGCAGAUGUGUCACUGCACACUGAGAUUAAUAGUAGCAUGUGAGGAAAAGGGCCAUGUAGCGGCGGGACGCACUGAGACAGAAAGUGAUGCAGUGUUGCAACUUUUCCAUCUGCAUUUCUACAUUUCUUCCCUGCAAAGCUCAGAGUUAGAAACUUGAGUUUUCAUGCUCAUACUGCUCCUCCAGCUCUGCACCGAGCAAGUCGCUUUAAUGUCGUUUUGGUUCAGCCAGUUAAGUUGGUACCAACUUUGCCUCAAGCCCCUAAAGCACAAACUUCUUCAAACGUUAGCUCUCUACUGGCCAGACUCCUUGGUCUUCAAGGGAAAAAUGAAAAAAGAAAAAAAAAACAUCUUUUUUUUUUUCUAAUCAGGGUUCCCCAGAGGAUAAAAGAUGAGACGAUGCAUAAGUCAAGGAGAAGAAGGGUAAUGGAAUGAUGGGUCACACAAAUGCUUCUAAAGCCAGCCAAAGUCUGGGGAGGGUGAAAAUGAGUCAACAUAGAGCAGACAAUUGGGAAUCAGAAGACAAAGAGAUCUCACAUGACAGGAGCUGGGAGAGCAGAAGCAGAAGAAUCCAACUGAGACACAAAGAGAGUCGAUCAGGGAGAGAACGAGCAGAGAGACAGUCUGGCAGGGGCCUCUGGAUGACUACGGCUCUUUAAUGCACUCAUAAAUCCAUUACUUAAGGCAAAGUAGAGGGUAAGUGGAUUUGUACUCUGGCCCUGCGAUUACUCUGCCAUCAAUAAAGGAUGGGCAGGGAAUACAGACGAGGUUCCACCUCCACCACUCAGCUCUGCAGCUGUUUAGCAAUCAGUUGGAAAACAAGAAUGACACGCUGCUGGAAAUAUGUCAACGGAAACUGGGCUCGGGUAAGACAGACGAGCGCUUGAAAACAUAUGCACAGUUAGGACCUGCUGUGCACAUCACAGCACAAAAAUGUGACAAAUGACAAGGUGACAGGGCCCUACUGGUGACUUGUCCAGGAUCUACCCUACCACAAUGAGGAUGCACAGAAAGUGGUCUGCUAAAAGCAGGCAUGCAGAAAAAUAACUGCAUCACGGCUCUCUACCAAAGUCAAUCUCCAGAAUAACAGGAUGGAUUAUUUACCGUUGCAAGUGCAAACACAGCACGUCCAAGAGCCGCAUCUCUAAAUCCAGCCGGCAGCCAAUAUCCUACUGUCUCUGAAAUGAAAUUGGGGGAUCUACUGCUUACGAUGUUUGUCCUGGAUCUGUGGGGUAUCCCUGAACUUAACCCCAAGCAGUAACGGAUGUGAUGGGGGACACUGCCUCCGAUCAGCAAGUGACAGUAGGUUGCCAUGGAAACUCUGGAUCAAGACUGUUGGAGAUAGCUUGCUGACCAUUUCUAAGGUAAAUCCUCCUGCUGCUUGGGGGUCAAGAAAUGUAACAAGUGCUGAGAUCUCCUAACAUCAGCAGGAAGACAAAACUUCACUGACAUCCUCCAGACUAGUGAAAGUUUUUCUUGGUUUUAAUACAUAUGAAAUGGUAAAGAAAUCCUGAUACUUGAUUUAUAUGUUAAAUAGGUCAGGCCCAUAACACGUUCAGCGUUUUUGUCAUCUCAAACUAGAAAGAAAAGACUAUUGUGGUCUAAAUCGCAUGGAGAGCAUUUGUCCAUGGAGCUUAAGGUCAUCAGCUUGCAUUAAAUCCUCUCAUGUAUUCCAAUUUGGGGCCCAAAUCUGGGCCCAGUCACUAGAGAUCUUUUUCCAUUUUGGCAAACAAACACAAAUCUAACUCUGUUUCUUCCCUUUACGGUCUUUAUUUUUCCCACAGUGAUCCAAUGUUUAUUGGAACAGGCAGCCUGCUCCGUUCCUGUGCUGGAUUCAGAUUGCCUAAUGAUGCACAGGGGAUUCACCGCACACAUGUAAUCCAGUAUUACAGUUUUUUGUUGUUGUCAUCAUCACUGCAAACUGUUCACUCUCCUACAGCGAUGUCAGAGCUAUAUAAAGAAACUGCCUACAGUUUUUACACCCGCUGCCUCACAUUCAAGCGUCCACCAAGUGAACCAGAGGAGGGCCUUUACUGAGAAGCACAGGGACACAGACGUACUUGUCACUGUUUAUUGGAAUAUCUGCAAGAGUUCAUUAAGAAUGCAACUAUACUAGACAAAUAUGUUUUUGAAAGAAAAUAGAGUAACUCUUAGAAGAAAUGUUUAGCUUAGAGCAAGGGUGUCCAAAGUAUGGACCGGGGGCCAUUUGCUGCCCUCAGGGGGAUUUUGUGUGGGUACCCAAAUAGGGAUGGGCAAAUAUUGUACAGUUUAUGUUUAAUGGGAAUUUUCUAUUAAUCCUGAAAGGAAUUGUAAUUUAUUGUAAUAACAUUUAAUUCUAACUGAUGGGUAAAAAAAUUCAGUUUAUCCACUCUGCUCCACGAGACCAUCAAUACAUAUAAAUACAUUUCAAAGGGUGAUUAAGUGCAGGUAUUGCACGCUGUACUUAAAAUGCUGUACUGAAGUAGCCUAUUCAACUGGAAGGUUUGUGUGGUUCUGACUCUAAUGAGGUCUAUUGCCUAAAAAUGUUUCAAAAACAUUUAAUUGUCGAUUUUAUCAUUAUAAAUCCUACAAACAAAAA